rnacentral:rRNA from 1 species
AACCCGCCUGCAUGAAGUUGGAAUUGCUAGUAAUCGCGGAUCAGCAUGCCGCGGUGAAUACGUUCCCGGGGAUUGUACACACCGCCCGUCACACCAUGAGAGUCGGGAACACCCAAAGUCCGUAGUCUAACCGCAAGGAGGACGCGGCCUAAGGUGGGUUCGAUAAUUGGGGUGAAGUCGUAACAAGGUACC